CAGCUCACUAGUCGAGAGGUCUAGCGCCGAAAAUGUCCGGGGCUAAAACACACCACCGAAGCUACGGAAUUACCUAUGGUAAUUGGUAGAGGAGCAUUCUGUAAGGAUGAAGCACAAUUGAAAGAGAGUGUGGACGAAACAGAAGAGAGAAUGCCGGAAUGAGUAGCGAGAUAUAUGUGAGAAUCAUAUAGGUCGAAUGUCUAAGGUUUCCUGGGUAAAGCUGAUCUGCUCAGGGUAAGUCGGGACCUAAGGUGAGGGCGAGAGCCGUAAUCGAUGGACAACAGGUAGAAAUUCCUGUACUACGUAUAAUCAGAACUGUGGGGACGCAGGAGGAUAGGAAAACCGGAGAAUGGAAAAAUCCGGCUAAGUACAAAGGUGUGAGUGAUAGGCAAAUCCGUCACUAUUAGCUGAAGUACGAAUGGGAGCGAAGAAAAGUAGCGAAGUUUCUGAAUCCACACUGUCAAGAAAAGCCGCUAUUGCGUUAUACGUACCCGUACCGCAAACCGACACAGGUAGACGAGGAGAAAAUCCACAGACCGACGGGAGAAGUGUUGUUAAGGAACUCGGCAAAAUGACCCCGUAACUUAGGGAUAAGGGGAGCCAACGCAAGUUGGUCACAGAAAAGAGGCUCAAGCGACUGUUUAGCAAAAACAUAGGUCUAUGCGAAACCGUAAGGUGAUGUAUAUGGGCUGACGCCUGCCCGGUGCUGGAAGGUCAAAAGGAGAGGUUAGCGUAAGCGAAGCUUUGAAUUCAAGCCCCAGUAAACGGCGGCCGUAACUAUAACGGUCCUAAGGUAGCGAAAUUCCUUGUCAGGUAAGUUCUGACCCGCACGAAAGGUGUAACGAUUUGAGCACUGUCUCGACAACACGCCCGGUGAAAUUGAAGAACCAGUGAAGAUACUGGUUACCCGCAACAGGACGGAAAGACCCCAUGGAGCUUUACUCCAGCUUGAUACUGGGAUUCGGUAUUGUAUGUACAGGAUAGGUGGGAGACUAAGAAGCUAGCACGCCAGUGUUGGUGGAGUCGAUGGUGGGAUACCUCUCUUAUAAUACUGAAUUUCUAACCUACUUCCGUGAUCCGGAAGAGGGACAUUGUUAGGCGGGCAGUUUGACUGGGGCGGUCGCCUCCGAAAGAGUAACGGAGGCGCUCAAAGGUCUUCUCAGAAUGAUUGGAAACCAUUCAAAGAGUGUAAAGGCAAAAGAAGGCUUGACUGCGAGAGUGACAACUCGAGCAGGUACGAAAGUAGGACUUAGUGAUCCGGUGGUAACAAGUGGGAGUGCCAUCGCUUAACGGAUAAAAGCUACCCUGGGGAUAACAGGCUUAUCUCCC
rnacentral:rRNA from 1 species